rnacentral:rRNA from 1 species
UGGUGGAGUGAUUUGUCUGGUUAAUUCCGUUAACGAACGAGACCUCGGCCUGCUAAAUAGUUCGGUCCAUCCUUCGGGGUGAGCUGGGACUUCUUAGAGGGACUAUCGGUGUGUAGCCGAUGGAAGUUCGAGGCAAUAACA